AAAUUGAAGAGUUUGAUCAUGGCUCAGAUUGAACGCUGGCGGCAGGCCUAACACAUGCAAGUCGAGCGGUAACACAGAGAGCUUGCUCUCGGGUGACGAGCGGCGGACGGGUGAGUAAUGUCUGGGAAACUGCCUGAUGGAGGGGGAUAACUACUGGAAACGGUAGCUAAUACCGCAUAACGUCGCAAGACCAAAGUGGGGGACCUUCGGGCCUCAUGCCAUCAGAUGUGCCCAGAUGGGAUUAGCUAGUAGGUGGGGUAACGGCUCACCUAGGCGACGAUCCCUAGCUGGUCUGAGAGGAUGACCAGCCACACUGGAACUGAGACACGGUCCAGACUCCUACGGGAGGCAGCAGUGGGGAAUAUUGCACAAUGGGCGCAAGCCUGAUGCAGCCAUGCCGCGUGUGUGAAGAAGGCCUUCGGGUUGUAAAGCACUUUCAGCGGGGAGGAAGGCGGUGAGGUUAAUAACCUCAUCGAUUGACGUUACCCGCAGAAGAAGCACCGGCUAACUCCGUGCCAGCAGCCGCGGUAAUACGGAGGGUGCAAGCGUUAAUCGGAAUUACUGGGCGUAAAGCGCACGCAGGCGGUCUGUCAAGUCGGAUGUGAAAUCCCCGGGCUCAACCUGGGAACUGCAUUCGAAACUGGCAGGCUAGAGUCUUGUAGAGGGGGGUAGAAUUCCAGGUGUAGCGGUGAAAUGCGUAGAGAUCUGGAGGAAUACCGGUGGCGAAGGCGGCCCCCUGGACAAAGACUGACGCUCAGGUGCGAAAGCGUGGGGAGCAAACAGGAUUAGAUACCCUGGUAGUCCACGCCGUAAACGAUGUCGAUUUGGAGGUUGUGCCCUUGAGGCGUGGCUUCCGGAGCUAACGCGUUAAAUCGACCGCCUGGGGAGUACGGCCGCAAGGUUAAAACUCAAAUGAAUUGACGGGGGCCCGCACAAGCGGUGGAGCAUGUGGUUUAAUUCGAUGCAACGCGAAGAACCUUACCUGGUCUUGACAUCCACAGAACUUUCCAGAGAUGGAUUGGUGCCUUCGGGAACUGUGAGACAGGUGCUGCAUGGCUGUCGUCAGCUCGUGUUGUGAAAUGUUGGGUUAAGUCCCGCAACGAGCGCAACCCUUAUCCUUUGUUGCCAGCGGUUAGGCCGGGAACUCAAAGGAGACUGCCAGUGAUAAACUGGAGGAAGGUGGGGAUGACGUCAAGUCAUCAUGGCCCUUACGACCAGGGCUACACACGUGCUACAAUGGCAUAUACAAAGAGAAGCGACCUCGCGAGAGCAAGCGGACCUCAUAAAGUAUGUCGUAGUCCGGAUUGGAGUCUGCAACUCGACUCCAUGAAGUCGGAAUCGCUAGUAAUCGUAGAUCAGAAUGCUACGGUGAAUACGUUCCCGGGCCUUGUACACACCGCCCGUCACACCAUGGGAGUGGGUUGCAAAAGAAGUAGGUAGCUUAACCUUCGGGAGGGCGCUUACCACUUUGUGAUUCAUGACUGGGGUGAAGUCGUAACAAGGUAACCGUAGGGGAACCUGCGGUUGGAUCACCUCCUUACCUUAAAGAA
rnacentral:rRNA from 1 species